AGUUUGAUCCUGGCUCAGAGUGAACGCUGGCGGCAGGCCUAACACAUGCAAGUCGAACGGCAGCACAGUAAGAGCUUGCUCUUAUGGGUGGCGAGUGGCGGACGGGUGAGGAAUACAUCGGAAUCUACUCUUUCGUGGGGGAUAACGUAGGGAAACUUACGCUAAUACCGCAUACGACCUACGGGUGAAAGCGGAGGACCUUCGGGCUUCGCGCGGUUGAAUGAGCCGAUGUCGGAUUAGCUAGUUGGCGGGGUAAAGGCCCACCAAGGCGACGAUCCGUAGCUGGUCUGAGAGGAUGAUCAGCCACACUGGAACUGAGACACGGUCCAGACUCCUACGGGAGGCAGCAGUGGGGAAUAUUGGACAAUGGGCGCAAGCCUGAUCCAGCCAUGCCGCGUGGGUGAAGAAGGCCUUCGGGUUGUAAAGCUCUUUUACCCGGGAUGAUAAUGACAGUACCGGGAGAAUAAGCUCCGGCUAACUCCGUGCCAGCAGCCGCGGUAA
rnacentral:rRNA from 1 species